rnacentral:lncRNA from 1 species
ACAGUACUGAUCAGAAAGCAUACGUCUUGGUCUUUGGAGAAUCAGCGAUCUUCAAUGUCUCUUCAACGAGCUUCCUGGCCUUCCUGCUUCUUAUUUCAACUCUCAUGCUCUCACUCUUCUCAAUCUUAUCAUAAGGUUUCUUCAUCUUCAAGAACCUCAUUCUGGAUUUCAAGAACACCAUCAACCUCUCUAGUCCCAUCAUCACCAUGGCUAGCUCUAGCUAUUUAAAAUUACCUGCUAUUCAAGUAAUCAAUGAUUUUAACCGCUUUUAAACAAACACAGAGAUGAAAAAGGGAAAAGAAGCUAAAGAGUACCUACCUACCUACCUCAAAGGAAUUACUUGCAAGAAGAUAAAACUUUAGCUGGGAAAAGAAAUCAGCAAGAUUGUUUUCUUAUAAUUAUCAGAGGACUAAAAUUAAGGAGUGAAUGGCGGUACCACUUUCGAAGAGGAGUUAACCAGGGAGAGCAGAGGAGAGAAGAAGUGGAAGGGAACAAGUGACGGAGAUGAAAUGAGUGAAUGUAUGUAACUGUAGAGGCAGACAAACAAUACUUAUAGCUUUUUAUGAUUUUCCAUAGUUUUGAUACGAUGAUAUCUCAAGAACAAAUUUAAAAAAACAAAAAAACUAUUACUUCAAUUUGUUUUUUAAAAAUAAAUUCACUUCUGUGGCAGAUUACUACUGCACAAAACAUUAAAUUAAAAUAAAAACCCUGGUCAGGAAUUAAUGGGGGUGUGUGUGUGUGGUCCUAAUUAAUAAUUAGAAAUCAGCAUGACCGAGGGGCUGCAAAAAUAAAUUCCUGCCGUGUACAAAAGUACUGCAAUAUUAAAUUUCAAGAUCAACAGAGGAGAAAGGUCAAAUGAUUUGUUAAUGGAGGGAGGCAUGACAUCAGCUUACAGAGGCCAUCAAGUUGUUCGAAGGAUGAGUUUGACUUUACACUUUAAGUAGCUUAAGAAAUUUGAGUGAUAAAAUUAUUUAAGAUAUGAUGUUUGCAAAAUAAUAUGGGGAAUUAGCUCCUUGGUUGUCUUCAAAGGGUGUUCGUGGUAAUAAUAAUAAUAAUUAGAUUGGAGUGUUGUAAUCCAAUUUCAACUCUUUUUUUAUAUAUUUUUUUAAAUAAUAAUAAAAAAAAACAUGUUUUCGAUGCAUAUCGGUUAUUUGCAUGCUUUUUUUGGGAUUUUUAAUUAUUUCUUUAAUCAAAUUGAAGUUAACGUUGUUUUUGUGAGAAAAAAAAUAUAAAAAUAUUAAAAAUUAAAAUAGAGAGUAAAAUAGAACAAGCAGCUAAAGUGCAAAAUAAAAAAAAUAAAAAAAUGAUCAAAAUAAAAUGGAUUUGUUUGGGGAUUAAAUAAUAAAAGUCCAAUGGGCUAAGAGUAAAAAAAAAAAAUGAGGAAUCAAAAUAAAAUAAAAUUACUUGAGGACCAUAAAAAUAAAAAAAUACAUUCCUGAACCAUCAUUAUUGUUUUUAGAGAAUAUGAGCUGAAAGGUAGAAAAUAAACCUUAGAAGAAAGUAAUUCAUCUUCUCCUAGUUUUCUCUCGCAAAAACCCUAAUUUUGUUUUUCUCUUUCUAAAUUCAAAACUUCCCUCCUUGAUUUCUCUCAUAUUCGAUCUCCAUUUCUGCAAGACUACCACCAUUUUCUUUGUUUUGAAUCACUAAACAAGCCCUCAAUUAAUUGAAUCCAACAAUCCUUACAUCAUCAUCAAUCAAGGAGACAUAGAAAACAACUCUCAAAACUUCUUCUUUUGAUUUCUCUCUCCUCCAACCUUCAAAGAAAGGUGAGAUGACUAUCAUUUUUCUUCUUUUAAUGAACAUUACACAAUCAUAUAAGCUUUUAACCUAAUGAUAAGCUUUUAACCUAAUGAAGCUUUUGUGAGGAACUAGAGAGAGAAAAUCAAGAAAAUACUUAAAAAGGAAAAAUCUAGUAGCACACCGCUAUUUAAUGAUGCUAAAUCUCCUUAUAUGGCCGACAAUGGAUUACAUCAUUCCUUUUUGUUAUUUUUUUUUUCAUCUUUAUACUUUUUAAAAAAAAUAUAUAUUAUUUUUUUAUUCUUACAUUUAACCUAUUUAUACCAUUUAUUUUUUUUAUUCUUUUGUAAUAUUUUUUUUAAUGUUUUUUUCUUUACACUUUUUGUUUUGAAAAAUUUAUUCGACACGGACAAAAAAAUAGUAUUUUACUAUAGUAAUUGUAAUAUUAUUUUAUUUUUUGACUACGUUAAAAAUUAACUUAAAAUUUUAUAUUUUUAUUAAUACACAUGAUCUUUAUUAUAUUUUAUUAUAUAUAAAUUUUGAUUUUGUGAUUCACGGUUAUAUUUUUUACUUGAUGUAAAAAAUAUAUUAAUAACACGUGCAUAUUAAUUUUUUUACAUUAAAUAAAUAUAUUAAUAUUUUAUUUAGUUUUUUUUUUUAAAAAAACUUAUCCCACCCGCAUCAAAACCCAAAUCAUAUAACUAGUGCACUUUCUAUUGUGCAGGGCAGUUGAGUUUUGUUUUUAAUUUAAGAACCUCGAGAACUGUAUAAUCAAUUGACUCCUUGCAAUACGAGACAAGGUCUUGCUUGUAUGGACAUGAAUGUAGCAUAUGCACUCCUUCUUGUGUUUAUUCCCUUGUCUAGUUCUACAAUAAAUGAAGAUUCUUACCACUUGGAUUUUCUUAAACCACCCACCUUUGUUUCGCGACCCUCUUGGACUGCCGUGUACCAUUUUAUGUGGACACUCCUCUCUCUAAAUAUAAAAAUAAAAUUUUUGAGAGGUAUAGCUUAACUGAUCAAUUUUUAAAUUUGUAUUUUGAAAUUACCAGUUCGAGUUUUAUAAAUUUUAGGGUCAUUGGUAGGUGUGAGCAAAAAAACCGAAAAACUGAUUAAACCGAGAAAACCGGAAAAAAAUAACCGAACUGAAAAAAAACCGAUUAAAAUUUUGAAAAAACCGACCAGAUCGGUUCGGUUUUAUAAGCAAAAAACCAAAAAAACCGAACCGAAACCAAAAAAAACCGAGCCAAACCGAGCCAACCCGGAAAACCGAGCCAAAACCGAGCCAAACCGGUUUGAACCGGUUUUUCCCCUAAAAAAACCGAACCGAAACCGGUCGGUUUGACUCGGUUUCGGUUCGGUUUCGGUUUUUUUUUUAAUAAUAAUUUCGGUUUGGUUACUUUUUUUUAUAAAAACCGAACCGAACCGAAAAUAAUCACACCUAGUCAUUGGAGGCUUACAUGAUCGUUAAUUUUAGAACCUGUAGAAUUAAUUGAGAUACAUACAAAUUAGUUUGAAUACUUAUAUUAAUAAAAUAAAAUAAAAAUAUAGGGGAAGAUAAGUGAGAAUGGACUUCCUUUUUUAAAAUAAAUAAAUAAAAGAUUCUUGAACACACGAUGUGUCCACCUUCAAAUCUUGAUUUCAUGUCCAAAUAAGUGCCACAUCAUGACCAACUUUCCAUGUUUUGUCUCGUAUGAAUAUUCUUAGCCUCCCUUUCCCUUUACAUUCUAUCUUGCUAAUAUUAAUAUAUAUAUUUUUAAUUUAAUAUGGGUGUCCGAACCAGUUUAUGCGCAUCUCGACUAAUCUCAUGGGCCCUGAAGUUAACGACCAUGUAAGCCUCCAGUGACCAUCAUAUGAGCAACGACAGGGAUCGAACCUGAGACCAUAGAGAGAACAAACAUCUUGAUCUCAAGCUCUUAUCACUGGUUACCACCUGGAUAAUUUGCUAAUAUUAAUAUUGAAAGGGCAAGUGGGAUGCGAUAUGGACGCCUUUUUUAUGCUUUAUAUUCCAUUAUCAUUCAUCACUUCUUAUCACCUUGGACCGUAGUACUCUUUCAGGCAUGGAUUAAUUAUUUGUCGUCUUUAUUAGCUAGCUUUAUAACGUGGAUUGACUUAACGAUGAUCCAUAAUAUGAACAUAUAUAUAGUUGGUGGGUUAUCAAUAUUGGUCAGCUCCCAAAUUGUUAGAGACUGGAGUGCAAACUUGAAAUUCUUUCACACUGAGAUAUUUACUUCUUAUCCAGGAAAAAAUAUAUUAAAAUAAGUAUAGUUAAUGUGUACCCUUUUAUUAUUUUCACAUAUUUCACCUCUUCUCCUCCUCAUUUUACCAGAAAGACCAUAACUUUUUUUUUUUUUUCUAAAUCUUGUUAUCUAGAAGUCUACGAAACCUAACUAAUUUGAUCAAACCGGGUUGGGUCAUUAAAGGAUAAAGCUCUUCCAAUGAUUAUGUAUUUUAUUUAUAAAAUUCAAACUCCAAAUCUUAUUUAAAAAAAAUAAGAAUCGAACCACUUGAACAAACCAUUGUUGAUAUUAUAAUUAUUUUCAUUAUGGGUUUUUUUUUGUUGUUAUUUCUGCUUUUGUGUGGCAAAACACAAAAUUAAGUUGUUUGAUUAUAUUCUAAAUAUAAGUUUAUGUUUGUGAAAUCCAUUAUAAUUUGUGUUCAACCUAAAAAGCAACAUCAAGCUGCUUUUUAGUGGGUUGCAAACUCAGUUUUUCUCCUCCUAACUACUCUCUCACACAAAAAACUGUUGUUUUUGAAACUUGUCAAAAUACCCGUUCAUCUUCCCCAUCCUCUUCACCUUCACCGGCGUCUUGUUGUUUUGCUUCUGUCCUCCUCUCAUCUUUCUUCCCCCAAAUAUUAUCGCAGACCUUCCCAAUAUUCCACAUUAAUUGAGAUAUUGACUUCAUAUCUAGGGAAAAUAUAUAAAAAUAAGUAUAGUUAAAAUGGACCUAUAUAUUGUAUUAUUUUCACAUAUUUCACCUCUUCUCCCAUUUUAAAAGAAAGACGAAAACCAUCGUUAAUUUUCGAAUUUCUCAUUAAAUCAUGUAUAUGACUCACACAUGUUGAAUUGUUGAUGGAUUUUACUUAUAUUACGCCAUCCCGAGCUAGCAGUACUGGCCUAAUUAAGGAUUAAUGCAGCUUUUAAUUAGGAAGUACGUAGUUAUUUUAUUUAUGAUAAGCAAACAGUAGAAAAUUAAGCAUAUUCUACUUGUUAGUUAACAAAUACCUAUAUGAGGAUUCUGUCACGGAUGAUGAUCUAUUACUUUAAAGCAGAAUUUAGCUGCUCUACAAUGAAAGAGAACAGGUCUUUAUUUAUUUAUGAUCAUAAGCAAACAGUGGAGGCAUAUUCUACUUCUUAAUUUGUUGCCUUAACAAAUACGUAGAGGAGGAUUCUCUCACGGAUGAUGAUCUAUUACUUUAAAUUAAGCAAAUGUUAGCUGCCCUACAAUGAAAGAGAACAAGUCUUUAAACCUUGUGAUAUAGCCUGCAAGAAGAUGGCCCAUGAUCAUGAACAACAUAAUUAUGAAUAUACAGAAAAUCUAUCUCGUUUUGGAGCAUCCCAAGCUCCAGGAGGAAUUCACACCAUAUGCUCUCAGUUGUGAUAAUAUUUUUGAGAUUGUUUGUAUCAUAUCCUUGAGCUCUUUGAUAUAUAUAUGGUCAUCGUGAAAAUCCAUGGACCAUGACUUCGUGACAUAUUUUGGCUGGAGCCUUGCUACAUGUGUACCAUGAAUUUAUCUUGACAUGUUUUUAAGGUGGAUAGCUUUAUGGCACAAUUUGUGCCACCACAUGAUAGAGAUAUUGAUGAGGUACAAAAUGUAAUGCAAAUUCAAGUCAUGCUGGGCAUCAGAAGGAUUUAUUAAGGGAAAUGGGGUUAUUUAUAUGUGCUUAUGGUAUGAACUAGCCAUGGAGAUGAAGAAGAAAAUAAGAGUAACGCAUGCCCCCAACAAAUUUAAAGGCAACCUUCUUGUAUCAUCUUCUAUAAUUAAAACAUGCUUAAUCAAGAAGGAAAGAAAGGAACAUCAAAACAUGACACAACUACGAGAUGUCUUCCCUCUAAUUACUUGCGGGAUCUGAGAUGAUCAUGAUCAAGAACAGUACUGAUCAGAAAGCAUACGUCUUGGUCUUUGGAGAAUCAGCGAUCUUCAAUGUCUCUUCAACGAGCUUCCUGGCCUUCCUGCUUCUUAUUUCAACUCUCAUGCUAUCACUCUUCUCAAUCUUAUCAUAAGGUUUCUUCAUCUUCAAACUUCUUAUUUUCGAUUUCAAGUUCAUCACCAAGCUCCCCAGUCCCAUCGUCAUCAUGGCCAGCCACUACCUUAAAGCACCUGUUAGCCACAAAAAAACAACUAUCAGCACCUUUUAGAAAAACACAAAAAGCCAUAAAAAAGUAGAUCAAGAAAAGAGAA